AUUGAACGCUGGCGGCAGGCCUAACACAUGCAAGUCGAACGAGUGGCGGACGGGUGAGUAAUGUCUGGGAAACUGGCUGAUGGAGGGGGAUAACUACUGGAAAAGGUAGCUAAUACCGCAUACCAUCAGAUGUGCCCAGAUGGGAUUAGCUGGUUGGGGGGGUAACGGCUCACCAAGGCGACGAUCCCUAGCUGGUCUGAGAGGAUGACCAGCCAAACGGGAACUAAGAAACGGUCCAGACUCCUACGGGAGGCGCCAUGGGGGAAUAUUGCACAAUGGGCGCAAUCUUGAUGCAGCCAUGCGGCGUGUAUGAAGAAGGCCUUCGGGUUGUAAAGUACUUUCAGCGGGGAGGCGUUACCCGCAGAAGAAGCACCGGCUAACUCCGUGCCAGCCGCCGCGGUAAUAC
rnacentral:rRNA from 1 species